rnacentral:rRNA from 1 species
AGUGAACGCUGGCGGUAGGCCUAACACAUGCAAGUCGAACGGCAGCACAGUAAGCGCUUGCUCUUACGGGUGGCGAGUGGCGGACGGGUGAGGCAUACAUCGGAAUCUACUUUUUCGUGGGGGAUAACGGAGGGAAACUUACGCUAAUACCGCAUACGACCUACGGGUGAAAGCAGGGGAUCUUCGGACCUUGCGCGAUUCAAUGAGCCGAUGUCGGAUUAGCUAGUUGGCGGGGUAAAGGCCCACCAAGGCGACGAUCCGUAGCUGGUCUGAGAGGAUGAUCAGCCACACUGGAACUGAGACACGGUCCAGACUCCUACGGGAGGCAGCAGUGGGGAAUAUUGGACAAUGGGCGCAAGCCUGAUCCAGCCAUACCGCGUGAGUGAAGAAGGUCUUCGGGUUGUAAAGCCCUUUUGUUGGGGAAGAAAAGCAGCAGGUGAAUACCCCGCUGUUCUGACGGUACCCAAAGAAUAAGCACCGGCUAACUUCGUG